GUCUCCGUAGCUUACAAACAAAGCACAGCACUGAAGAUGCUGAGACGUUGACACACACAACCAGAGACA
rnacentral:tRNA from 1 species